GGGGAUGUAGCUCAGUGGUAGAGAGCUCGCUUUGCUUGCGAGAGGCCCUGGGUUCGAUCCCCAGCAUCUUCA